rnacentral:rRNA from 1 species
GACGAACGCUGGCGGCGUGCUUAACACAUGCAAGUCGAACGGAAAGGCCCUGCUUUUGUGUGGUGCUCGAGUGGCGAACGGGUGAGUAGCACGUGAGUAACCUGCCCUUGACUUUGGGAUAACUUCAGGAAACUGGGGCUAAUACCGGAUAGGAGCUCCUGCUGCAUGGUGGGGGUUGGAAAGUUUCGGCGGUUGGGGAUGGACUCGCGGCUUAUCAGCUUGUUGGUGGGGUAGUGGCUUACCAAGGCUUUGACGGGUAGCCGGCCUGAGAGGGUGACCGGCCACAUGGGGACUGAGAUACGGCCCAGACUCCUACGGGAGGCAGCAGUGGGGAAUAUUGCACAAUGGGCGGAAGCCUGAUGCAGCAACGCCGCGUGCGGGAUGACGGCCUUCGGGUGGUAAACCGCUUUAGCCUGUGACGAAGCGUGAGUGACGGUAAUGGGUAAAGAAGCACCGGCUAACUACGUG